AGAGCGAACGCUGGCGGAAUGCUUAACACAUGCAAGUCGCACGGGCAGCAAUGUCAGUGGCGGACGGGUGAGUAUCGCGUAGGAAUAUGUCCGGAGGUGGGGGACAACCCUGGGAAACUGGGGCUAAUACCGCAUAUGAGCUGAGGCUCAAAGCAGUGAUGCGCCUUUGGAGUAGCCUGCGUCCGAUUAGCUUGUUGGUGGGGUAAAGGCCUACCAAGGCGACGAUCGGUAGCUGGUCUGAGAGGACGACCAGCCACACUGGGACUGAGACACGGCCCAGACUCCUACGGGAGGCAGCAGUGGGGAAUAUGGACAAUGGGCGCAAGCCUGAUCCAGCAAUUCCGCGUGGGUGAAGAAGGUCUUCGGAUUGGUGAAGCCCUUUCGACGGGACGAUGAUGACGGUACCCGUAGAAGAAGCCCGGCUAACUCGUGCCAGCAGCCGC
rnacentral:rRNA from 1 species